GACGAACGCUGGCGGCGUGCUUAACACAUGCAAGUCGAACGCUGAAGCUCAGCUUUUGUUGGGUGGAUGAGUGGCGAACGGGUGAGUAACACGUGAGUAACCUGCCUCCUUCUUUGGGAUAACGCCCGGAAACGGGUGCUAAUACUGGAUAUUCACUGGUCUUCGCAUGGGGGUUGGUGGAAAGGGUUUUUCUGGUGGGGGAUGGGCUCGCGGCCUAUCAGCUUGUUGGUGGGGUGAUGGCCUACCAAGGCUUUGACGGGUAGCCGGCCUGAGAGGGUGGACGGUCACACUGGGACUGAGACACGGCCCAGACUCCUACGGGAGGCAGCAGUGGGGAAUAUUGCACAAUGGGCGCAAGCCUGAUGCAGCGACGCCGCGUGAGGGAUGGAGGCCUUCGGGUUGUGAACCUCUUUCGCCAGUGAAGCAGGCCUGCCUCGUUUGUGGGUGGGUUGACGGUAGCUGGAUAAGAAGCGCCGGCUAACUACGUG
rnacentral:rRNA from 1 species